UUGAACGCUGGCGGCAUGCCUUACACAUGCAAGUCGAACGGCAGCGCGGGGCAACCUGGCGGCGAGUGGCGAACGGGUGAGUAAUAUAUCGGAACGUACCCUGGAGUGGGGGAUAACGUAGCGAAAGUUACGCUAAUACCGCAUACGAUCUAAGGAUGAAAGCAGGGGACCGCAAGGCCUUGUGCUCCUGGAGCGGCCGAUAUCUGAUUAGCUAGUUGGUAGGGUAAAAGCCUACCAAGGCAUCGAUCAGUAGCUGGUCUGAGAGGACGACCAGCCACACUGGAACUGAGACACGGUCCAGACUCCUACGGGAGGCAGCAGUGGGGAAUUUUGGACAAU
rnacentral:rRNA from 1 species